UACGUAGGGGGCAAGCGUUGUCCGGAUUUAUUGGGCGUAAAGAGCGUGUAGGCGGCCACACAGGUCAGCUGUGAAAACUCGAGGCUCAACCUCGAGACGUCGGUUGAAACCGUAUGGCUAGAGUCCGGAAGAGGAGAGUGGAAUUCCCGGUGUAGCGGUGAAAUGCGCAGAUAUCGGGAAGAACACCCGUGGCGAAGGCGGCUCUCUAGGACGGUACUGACGCUGAGACGCGAAAGCGUGGGGAGCGAACAGG
rnacentral:rRNA from 1 species